AACGAGAGAAGCAGAAAAAGAAAAUAGAGGUGAAACCCUAAACCGGCUAGCGACCGACUCCACUUCCCCCUCUUUCUCUCCCCCACCUUUUCCUCCCUCGCACAGCCGCCGCCACCCUCCAUCACCACGUCUCCAAGCCAGCGCCGCUGUCGCCAGAGGAAAAGAGCAGGGGAACACGCAGCCAUCUAUCCCGUGCAUCGUCUCUCCCUCUACUUGAGGACUUGCGGCGAAGAAGUCGCCGGAGGCGGAGCUCGACCGGGACGACGGCAGCCAGAGGACGUCAAGGCCCCGCCGGAGGAGGAGCCUGGCUGGAGGAUAGUGUGGUGCAGCCGUGCAGGGUGCCUCACCACCAUCGUCGUCCUUGCCACCGCGGGCGCCACUGAGGCCAGCCUCUCCUUCACACACAGAUCGUAGGGCUUGAUGUGUGCUGCAAUUUAUUUGGCAUUAUGAACUAGCAUGACGAAUGGAUCUGGGGGGAUGGAUUUAACAAUCACUGGAGAUGGAUGCUGCCUUUGUGCAGUACCCCUACUAGCAAUCAAAUGGAUUUGGGAUAAGGGAUUUGGAAUUGUGAAUGUGAGCAACCAAGCAAUCAGGCUUUUCAUCCGCCCGUUUUUGUGAAGGAGGUUUGCAGAAACAACAAUAUUGCAAAGCUUCACCGUCUCUGCAACACCAAUAUCCCUAAGGUACUUCUGCACUAUCUUGACUGAACCUCAAGUUUUUUAUAGUCAGCCUGCGUUCCUCGUCAUUUGGUGGGGAUGAUAAUUUCUGAGAUUUUACUACUACUUGUGUGAUUACGAGAUUGAUGUCGAUCUGUUAGAGCUACAUGUUGAAUGGGGUGAAGAGGUCUACAAGGCUGCAGUGAAUUGUUUGGUGGAAAUCGAAGAAUGUGGCAUGCUGGCGGACAGAAUCAUCAUACCCGAGAUUUGAAAUUACAAGGAGGAUAGGAAGGCCACUUCCAGUGGAAGUGUUGAGUACAUGUGCAUGCAAGUGAAGCGUCUGAGAGGUGUGAAAGCCAGGGCGAUCGGUUGAUGGUUAUGGUAUAAACUCAAUUGCUAAUAUAUUUUUUACUGGUUUUGGUUACAAGUCUCGUGAAGAACUAAGGUUUCCAGCAGAAAAAACUAAGAGCAUUAUGGUUUUCCCUUCCCAACAAUGAUGUAUACACCAGAACUCGUAUAUAUGGACCUUUGCCAAGGAUAUUCAUUUCUGAACUUAUUGUAGAUUAGCUGAGUGCUCCGAGCCAGGUGAUGCUCGACGAUUUACUUAAUUCUUUCAAUUUGUUUGUUCAAGAUAUUAGUAGGAUGGACAAAUAUUCAUUCAUAGUAUGCGUGUAGGGCCGAAGGCAUUUUAGACAUACCUCAUAACACUUAUGUAUGGCCGCAGAAGACUGCUGAAACAUAUCACUAUAGAAAAAAAUGCUUUCUGAAAAUCAUUUCUCUUUAGGUUACUUCCGUAGUUCUGUUAGAGUAAAUACUCAGGUUACUUCUGUAGUUCCGUUGAAGUAAAUAGUCAGAGAUAUUUACUUCUGUAGUUCUCUUUAGGUUACUUCUGUAGUUCUAUCAAGAGUAGGUUCUAUUAACACAUCGAUUUAACAGCAAUCAUCAGUUCAGUGUGUGAUGUUGGGCCGUAGUUUUCCUGCAACAGCAUACACAGCCGGCGAGACUUUUUCUGCUAGGGAUUUACAAGGUAUGACAUGUGGAGAGGGUGCUUCCAAUUAGUAAUUCAAACUCUGGAAAACAAAAAAUUCUCACAUUAUUACAAAAAGUGUUGCUGAAUCACGACAAUUUAUAAGCACAUACUGAGGGUACUGAACCACAUGUUAGUAGCGAUCGUCAAUUGUGAAGACUUGAUGAUUAUCAUAUAUAACCAAAUUUUGCUAGCCCGCCUGUCGUAUGUUUGUUUUACCAACAUAUAGCUGUAUGUAUGCACUUCUGUUUUUCUCAUCCUUCCUCUCCUUAAUUUCAGUGAUUGCUGAAUAAUAUUUGUUCUGAUGGUCUAAUAGUUUUUUCUGCUUAGGCACAGAUAUGGUGCAAUCUGCUGCUAUCCUCCUCUUGAUACCUAAGAUUUUUUUCCUAUGAGGCCGGUUACUAUUUAAGCAUAAUCAGGGUGAACCUAAUAAAUUUAUGAUAACUCUGAAGUUUAAUAUGUGUUUACGUGCCUGCCUAAGAGUAUCAUGCCAAUUGCUUGAGCAGCGCGCAAUGAUAUGUAAUGCUGUUGCAAUUGCUGAGAUAAUGGAUGCAACACUAAUUUUACCAGUUCUGAAGCAGGACCAUAUGAAAAGACCAGACAAGAUCAUUCUUUCUACCACCUUAUAACUAGAUCACUGAUGUAUCUAAUCUAGAUGGAUCAUUCAAAUAGGUGCACGAUCCAUACAAUGGUUUUCAUGGUCAUUCAAGUCGAGCGCCGAGACACUCGAGGUGAUGAGGUAGAGUUCGGUGCUUCUGCUGGUGCAUACAUAGGUUUUGGUACGAUAGCUAUUUAGCUAAUUAUUUGUUCUAUCUCAUAAGUGGAAUGAUCAAUUGGCUUUGACUGUAAAUUAAUAAACAGACACAACGAACUAGCUGAGUACCUACGUAGCUAAUCAUUGAUCUUGUCUUGGGUGAAAGGGUGUCGUUUGUUAAUUCAGAGACUGACUAAAAGGUAACCCAUACGGCUUUAUUUGUUUACUUCCCUUCUAAACCCUUAUUUACUUGGCUUAUGUUGAUGAUAUUUCUAAUCUUUGCAGGUAUACUCAACUGCAUCUUAGUUUUGUGCUCCUGCAUAUUGUUAUUGUGUUUAUUCCUAUCAGCUAAUAUAAAUAUCAUAACUCUCAAAGUUUUCAUUAUUAGUUUUUUUACAGAUUCCUGAAGCUUUACGUGCUGGAUUCUCCGAUGUAAUUGAAGUAGCUCAACAUAGUUACAUUGUCAUGGUAGUAAUCUUUGCCUGUUGUUGACUUAAGAGAGCUAGCUGUUUGCUAGAAUAUAUUAAACUGCUAAUUUUACACCUAUUUAUGUACAUGUCAUCAUAGGAAUUUCAGAACCAGUUUUGUUUUAUGAAAAUGCUAGCCCUUUCAUAGUAUAGAAAUAUUUUCACGAAUUAUAAUGGCAAAUUAUUUUUCUUGUUUUCACGAGUAAUAAUGCCAAAUGCUUUCCUUAUGGUAUUCAUUAGUUAAGGCACUGCGUUUCGGAUCGACGACGCUUCAUACAUGGGUGGGGUUGGCAGUUUUGAGCCACUUAAUUUACGGGUGGCGAUUGCUGUCACCGUUGUUUAAUACCAAAUAUAUUAUCUGUCUGGCUAGAUUUUUAUUUGUGUUUGUGUCACAGGCUGCUAAGAAUGUUCUAGCUGCUGCGGCGGCGACACCGUCAGUUCCUGCUUUCAGGGCACCCUACUGCAAAUACACCUUCUGGAUCGGGUAUGUAUCAUAUGGCAUCGUCCUCGCACCGUGGCGCGCUGCGCCGGAGACAUGGACGAGGUUGAGCAGUAUGUGCCUUCGUCCUCUUCUCUCAGAGUGUGGGGCCGAGGAUAAGGACGAGGAGAAGAAAUAUGUGGCAUCUUCAUUGUUGUCCUCUUGGCGCGCGGUGCUGGAGAGACAGAAAAGGAGGCCGAGAGCUGGAAGUGCGCCAUAUUGUAGUGUUUUGUUUGAUGGGGAAAUAUCUUUGUAUGCCAGCAUAUAUUGUAGUGGUUUGUUUGAUGGGAACUACCUUUGUAUGCCUGCAUAUUUUGCUUAGGUAUUGAUGAUUCCAUGCUAAAUUUGUACAAGAUACCAAAAAAAUAAAUUGUGAGUGCAACAACUAUUAGUUAGUUGCACCAAGUUAAAUUCAUACAACUGUGUUACACA